rnacentral:rRNA from 1 species
AGAGUUUGAUCAUGGCUCAGAACGAACGCUGGCGGCGUGCCUAACACAUGCAAGUCGAGCGAGAAAGCCCGCAAGGAGUAAAGCGGCGCACGGGUGCGUAACACGUGGGUAAUCUGCCCUGGAGUCCGGAAUAACUCGCCGAAAGGCGUGCUAAUGCCGGAUGAGACCACGGGGGCUUCGGCUCCUGCGGGAAAAGGUGGCCUCUGUACACAAGCUAUCACUCCAGGAUGAGCCCGCGGCCCAUCAGCUAGUUGGCGGGGUAACGGCCCACCAAGGCAACGACGGGUAGCUGGUCUGAGAGGACGAUCAGCCACACUGGAACUGAGACACGGUCCAGACUCCUACGGGAGGCAGCAGUGGGGAAUCUUGCGCAAUGGGCGAAAGCCUGACGCAGCAACGCCGCGUGUGUGAUGAAGGUCUUCGGAUCGUAAAGCACUGUCGCGAGGGACGAAUAAGGGUCGGGAUAAUACUCCGGUCCGAUGACGGUACCUCGAGAGGAAGCACCGGCUAACUCUGUGCCAGCAGCCGCGGUAAUACAGAGGGUGCAAGCGUUGUUCGGAAUUAUUGGGCGUAAAGCGCGUGUAGGCGGCUCAGCAAGUCAGGUGUGAAAGCCCUCGGCUUAACCGAGGAAGUGCGCCUGAAACUAUUGAGCUUGAGUACCGGAGAGGGCGGUGGAAUUCCCGGUGUAGAGGUGAAAUUCGUAGAUAUCGGGAGGAACACCAGCGGCGAAGGCGACCGCCUGGACGGCUACUGACGCUGAGACCGAAAGCGUGGGGAGCAAACAGGAUUAGAUACCCUAGUAGUCC